UCCUGGAAUUUUAUUUCUGAAUUUUGUUAUGGUUGAUAAUGACUUAUUUGGUCACUGUGGUCAGUAACAGAUCAUGGUAAAUGAAAACAAUUUAGUAUUCCUAGAAGAAAACUAAUUUACAAUGUAUAUCAUUAUCAGAGGGAAUCUGGAAUGUAGUCUGGGAUUUGCUCCUUCCAGCCGUUGAACACAAUGGCUGACUCGGCAAAAUGAACACAAAGAUGUCCCAGAAUUCCAGCAAUAUUUCAUUGAGGUAGCAACAGAGUCCUCAGGUCCUCAGCCUCUGUGGUGGUAAUGUGGGGUCCUCAGACAGCCUCUGUGGUGGUAAUGUGGGGUCCUCAGCCUCUGUGGUGGUAAUGUGGGCUCCUCAGACAGCCUCUGUGGUGGUAAUGUAGGGUCCUCAGCCUCUGUGGUGGUAAUGUAGGGUUCCCAGCCUCUGGUGGUAAUGUGGGGUCCUCAGACAGCCUCUGUGGUGGUAAUGUGGGGUCCUCAGACAGCCUCUGUGGUGGUAAUGUAGGGUCCUCAGCCUCUGUGUUGGUAAUGUGGGGUCCUCAGCCUCUGUGGUGGUAAUGUGGGGUCCUCAGCCUCUGUGGUGGUAAUGUGGGGUCCUCAGCCUCUGUGGUGGUAAUGUGGGGUCCUCAGCCUCUGUGUUGGUAAUGUGGGGUCCUCAGCCUCUGUGGUGGUAAUGUGGGGUCCUCAGACAGCCUCUGUGGUGGUAAUGUGGGGUCCUCAGCCUCUGUGUUGGUAAUGUGGGGUCCUCAGCCUCUGUGGUGGUAAUGUGGGGUCCUCAGACAGCCUCUGUGAUGGUAAUGUAGGGUCCCCAGAUAGCGCACUCCCUCUCCUCAAUCCUUGGGGUCCUUGUCAUUCACUGCCUCCUGCUGCAGGGCUGAGGAGCGUAAACCCCUCCCCCACCAUAGAACCACCACAGCACACUGUUAAUCCCCUCCUUUUCCCUCUCUGUAUCCACAUCGCUGCCUCUCUCCCCCUCCCUUUCUGCAUCCCUUCAUCCUGCCCUGCUUCCCUCCCUCCCUCCUCCUAACCAGCCUCCACACGCUCCCCGAUCCCUCCCUCCUCCUAACCAGCCUCCACACGCUCCCCGAUCCCUCCCUCCUCCUAACCAGCCUCCACACGCUCCCCUAUCCCUCCCUCCUCCUAACCAGCCUCCACACGCUCCCGAUCCCUCCCUCCUCCUACUCAGCCUCCACACGCUCCCUGAUCCCUCCCUCCUCCUGACCAGCCUCCACAACCUCCCCGAUCCCUCCCUCCCUCCCUCCCUC
ensembl:lncRNA